GUAACAUUGUAACCAACGGCAGAAAACCGACACAAAACAAACCCCGGUUACCCCGGCAACCCCCAACACGGUCUCACUCGCGUGCAGGCCCCCACCCUCCUGUUCUUCCAAGGCCCUCCCCCAGCUGACCGAUUCGCCCCCACGCUGAUUGACAAGAAGAACAUUACAAUACAUGCACAUAGAACAACUGGCAUAACGGACAACGAAAUAUAAUGUAACACAUAACACACAAACUAUUUAACUGUCCCAGGGUCGCUACAGUACAAAAGUUCUAGACUCCAAUGGGUUAUGUUUAGACUCCCAUGGGUUAUGUUUAGACUCCCAGGGGUCAUAAUAUAGAAACGUGUAUGAGCAUUACAAACAGAGUAGCGGGACAACGUAGCGUCUGAGGCCGAAAUGGGUCCCCUAAUCUGACUGAAUAGUGCGGUUGUUUGCCAACGGUCUGGAGGUCUUCCUGGAGCUCCGGAUUAGCGGGACAGCGUCGCGUCUGAGCCCGAAAUGGGUCCCGUAAUCGGACUGAGUGUGGCGGUUGGUUGCCAACGGUCUGGAGGUCUUCCUGGAGCUCCAGAGUAGCGGGACAACGUCGCGUCUGAGUCCGAAAUGGGUACCGUAAUCGGACUGAGUGUGGCGGUUGGUUGCCAACGGUCUUGAGGUCCUGAGAAUCAUCCAGGGGAGCGGGACCACUUGGCUUCUGAGGCCGAAUCGGGUCCCCUUGUCGGACUGAAUGGUGC
ensembl:lncRNA